rnacentral:rRNA from 1 species
UACGUAGGUGGCAAGCGUUGUCCGGAAUUAUCGGGCGUAAAGCGCGCGCAGGCGGCCUUUUAAGUCUGAUGUGAAAGCCCACGGCUCAACCGUGGAAGGUCAUUGGAAACUGAAAGGCUUGAGUACAGAAGAGGAAAGCGGAAUUCCACGUGUAGCGGUGAAAUGCGUAGAGAUGUGGAGGAACACCAGUGGCGAAGGCGGCUUUCUGGUCUGUAACUGACGCUGAGGCGCGAAAGCGUGGGGAGCAAACAGG